rnacentral:rRNA from 1 species
GACGAACGCUGGCGGCGUGCCUAAUACAUGCAAGUAGAACGCUGAAGGAGGAGCUUGCUUCUCUGGAUGAGUUGCGAACGGGUGAGUAACGCGUAGGUAACCUGCCUGGUAGCGGGGGAUAACUAUUGGAAACGAUAGCUAAUACCGCAUAAUAGUAGAUGUUGCAUGACAUUUGCUUAAAAGGUGCAAUUGCAUCACUACCAGAUGGACCUGCGUUGUAUUAGCUAGUUGGUGGGGUAACGGCUCACCAAGGCGACGAUACAUAGCCGACCUGAGAGGGGGAUCGGCCACACUGGGACUGUGACACGGCCCAGACUCCUACGGGAGGCAGCAGUAGGGAAUCUUCGGCAAUGGACGGAAGUCUGACCGAGCAACGCCGCGUGAGUGAAGAAGGUUUUCGGAUCGUAAAGCUCUGUUGUAAGAGAAGAACGAGUGUGAGAGUGGAAAGUUCACACUGUGACGGUAUCUUACCAGAAAGGGACGGCUAACUACGUG